CAGUCGCCGCGGUAAUACGGAGGGUGCAAGCGUUAAUCGGAAUUACUGGGCGUAAAGCGUGCGUAGGCGGUUCGUUAAGUCUGUUGUGAAAGCCCCGGGCUCAACCUGGGAAUGGCAAUGGAUACUGGCGAGCUAGAGUGUGUCAGAGGAUGGUGGAAUUCCCGGUGUAGCGGUGAAAUGCGUAGAGAUCGGGAGGAACAUCAGUGGCGAAGGCGGCAACCUGGUCCUUGACUGACGCUGAGGCGCGAAAGCGUGGGGAGCAAACAGGAUUAGAUACCCCCGUAGUCCCUGUCUCUUAUAC
rnacentral:rRNA from 1 species